UGAUCAGCCACACUGGAACUGAGACACGGUCCAGACUCCUACGGGAGGCAGCAGUGGGGAAUAUUGCACAAUGGAGGAAACUCUGAUGCAGCAACGCCGCGUGGAGGAUGACGCAUUUCGGUGUGUAAACUCCUUUUAUAUGGGAAGAUAAUGACGGUACCAUAUGAAUAAGCACCGGCUAACUCCGUGCCAGCAGCCGCGGUAAUACGGAGGGUGCAAGCGUUACUCGGAAUCACUGGGCGUAAAGCGCGCGCAGGCGGCCUUUUAAGUUGGAUGUGAAAGCCUAUGGCUCAACCAUAGAACUGCAUCCAAAACUAUCAGGCUAGAGUGUGGGAGAGGAAGAUGGAAUUAGUUGUGUAGGGGUAAAAUCCGUAGAGAUAACUAGGAAUACCAAAAGCGAAGGCAAUCUUCUGGAACAUUACUGACGCUGAGGCGCGAAAGCGUGGGGAGCAAACAGGAUUAGAUACCCUGGUAGUCCACGCCCUAAACGAUGAAUGUUAGUCGUCGGGUAGCUAGUCUAUUCGGUGAUGCAGCUAACGCAUUAAACAUUCCGCCUGGGGAGUACGGUCGCAAGAUAAAACUCAAAGGAAUAGACGGGGACCCGCACAAGUGGUGGAGCAUGUGGUUUAAUUCGAAAAUACGCGAAGAACCUUACCUAGCCUUGACAUAUUUAAGAACACUUUAGAGAUAGAGUGGUGCCUUCGGGAGCUUUUAUACAGGUGCUGCACGGCUGUCGUCAGCUCGUGUCGUGAGAUGUUGGGUUAAGUCCCGCAACGAGCGCAACCCUCGUCACUAGUUACUAACGGUUCGGCCGAGGACUCUAGUGAGACUGCCUUCGUAAGGAGGAGGAAGGUGAGGACGACGUCAAGUCAUCAUGGCCCUUACGGCUAGGGCAACACACGUGCUACAAUGGCCAGGACAAUGAGAAGCGAUACCGCGAGGUGGAGCAAAUCUAUAAACCUGGUCUCAGUUCGGAUUGUAGUCUGCAACUCGACUACAUGAAGCUGGAAUCACUAGUAAUCGUAGAUCAGCUAUGCUACGGUGAAUACGUUCCCGGGUCUUGUACUCACCGCCCGUCAUACCAUGGGAGUUGAUUUCACCCGAAGCGGGGAAGCUAAACUGGCUACCCUCCACGGUGGAAUCAGCGACUGGGGUGAAGUCGUAACAAGGUAACCGUAGGAGAACCUGCGGUUG
rnacentral:rRNA from 1 species